rnacentral:tRNA from 1 species
GGGAUUGUAGCUUAAUUGGUAGAGCUAAUAACUUUUAAUUAUUUAAAUAAAGGUUCAAAUCCUUUCAAUCCCA